CCCAGACUCCUACGGGAGGCAGCAGUGGGGAAUAUUGGACCAUGGGGGGAACCCUGCUCCAGCGACGCCGCGUGAGUGACGACGUAUUUCGGUAUUUCCCGCUCUAUCAGCCUUGAAGAAAGCCCUGCCGGUACCUUCCUCCGAAGCCCCUUCUCCCUACGUGCCCUCCUCCGCGGUCCUCCUUAGGGGGCCCUCGUUAUCCGGAUUUCCUGGGUGUAAAGGGAGCGUAGACGGCGAUGCAAGUCUGAAGGGAAAGGCGGGGGACCAACCCCGGGACUGCUCUGGAAACUGCGUCGCUGGAGUACGGGAGGGGCAGGCGGAAUGCCUGGUGUAGCGGUGAAAUGCGUAGAGAGAAGGAGGAGCACCGGCGGCGAAGGCGGCCUGCUGGACCGUGACUGACGUUGAGGCUCGAGAGCGUGGGGAGCAAACAGGAUUAGAUACCCUAGUA
rnacentral:rRNA from 1 species